rnacentral:rRNA from 1 species
UACGUAGGCAGCGAGCGUUGUUCGGAGUUACUGGGCGUAAAGGGUGCGUAGGCGGUUGUUUAAGUUUGGUGUGAAAUCUCCCGGCUCAACUGGGAGGGUGCGCCGAAUACUGAAUGACUAGAGUGCGGGAGAGGAGAGUGGAAUUCCUGGUGUAGCGGUGAAAUGCGUAGAUAUCAGGAGGAACACCGGUGGCGAAAGCGGCUUCCUGGUCCAGCACCGACGUUCAGGCACGAAAGCGAUGGGGAGCAAACAGGG